UAUGUUGCAGCUUUUUUAAAGGCAAUUGAUAUCAUUAACCAAGAUAGUGAAAAAUUUGCAUGGAGAUUGUAGUUGUGCAUUUUAGACAAUCAAAUGAAAAGGGGAAAACAUUUGGUAAAAUAGGUGCUAUCUUUGGAAGAAUAUGUUAAUUAUCAAUCAUAUUUUAGAGUGCAUGGUACACCUGAAGCUAAAAGGAAGGGAAUGCUUUGUGUUGAAGGCCAAAUGCAGUAUAGUCUUGAGUCAGGCGGCAAAAAUGAAAAAUGCUAGUGGCUUUGAGGAUGUAGCCAAACAGAUAUUACAUGUAAUAUUUUCUUGUCUUGUCUUCUCCGUGUUUAUAUUUGUCUAUCCACAUGCCCUGUGUGGUUGAAUUUGUAACAGAAUCAUGGUGAGUAGGUGAACCACUUGCUUCUCCACUAUGAGUGGAUUAGAAUUCUUUGGUUUUUGGUUCAG
rnacentral:misc_RNA from 1 species